UUUUUUUUUUUUUUUUUUUUUUUUUUACUGACAGUCAAUACGAGUGGCAAAGAUUUUGAAGGAUGUCUGUCUUGCUGUUAAUUUGAGUAAUAUUGCAUGUAUGAUAAAAAUUAAUGAUGGUCAUUUUAGCACCCAAAACCAUUGCCUAGAAAUGCCAUACUGCUGUAAAAUGUAGCACUUUGUCACGAUAAGCACAGUCACCAGGAGCAGUCUUCAGGAUCACCUAUGUAUCUAGGUCUCUUGCAGCCUUCAUUCUCAUAUGCAGUCACACUCAUCCAGAACUCAAUGUCCCUUAGAAAAAUCAAGAAAAUACCAAGAAAACGGUUUUCCUCUUGACUAGCUGUUUUCUUUUGUGAAAAGGAUACAAUGUUUAGCAGGUUCACUGCACAUUUGUCAAUAGGAAACAGAAGAGCAGAUUGCCAUGAAGUUCAAGACAACUUGGAGCUGCUCAGAGAAAACAUUCUUUCAUGUAGCAGAGCCAGACAUGAACAUGGUAAUAGGAAGGGUACUUUGGGAAGUAAAGAAUGCAAGUCUAUGUAGCCACAAAUGCUGCACAAAACUGAGGAUGAGAGGCACCAUCUGACAAAGCUUACAGAGUAAGAAACAGCUGUAUCAGUGUGCAUAACAGGGUAGGAAAAAGUGUAAUGUCUCUUACUCAAAACUAGUGUGAAAGGGAGAGAGUUGGUGCUGCAAGAGUCUGUGUCCCAGUUAAAGAGCAAGAUGAGUAAAGGGAGAGUGGGUCAGCAGAAGAGACUAUUUCACUCUGUUCUUGAGAUGUACUCAUACUGUACCCAUUUUAUUUCAAAAAACUUUUCCAAGGUAACUAAUUACUUUUUUUUAAGUUGUUGCAAAUCAGACUACUGAAGAGCUUCAUAUUUAAUAAUCUUUAAACCAACAACUUGAUAUUGCCAGUAGGUAUGUUAAGAGUUUGGAGACACAGGAAAAUUUAAGGAGCAUUUAUUAGCAUUUGCCUAUUUAAUGUGCUGAGGAGUUGUCCAGGAAGUAUAAGAGCUUCUUAUUGAAAAGUUCUAAUUGCUAUUGAGACUGCUCACAGAUUAAUUUGAAAUGGCAAAUGGCAGUACUAUUGUUUACCUAAUCCCAGUGCAGCAAAUCUAAUGUUCUCUCUCACAAUAGGCUUUCUCUUCUUUCUGUUCUCUCAUCACCACAGAAUUUUGAAUAGUAUCUGCAGUUUCAAAUGGUGCUUUAAUGCCUCUUAUUUAACAAGCUGGCAAGGAAGGUAGGGAUAGAUCCAGUCCCCAUUUUAUAGUUGAGGAUACAGUUCAAGAAGGCUACAGAAAUUGGGCAGGCCAUGCAGCUAGUCAGCAGCUGACCUGGGACUUCAACACAGGUGUCCUGAAUCUAAUGUUGAAAGCAUGUCCUUUCCAGGCAAACACACUACCACAUACCUAAUUGUAGAAGAGGAGAUUCCUAAGGAAGAGAAAUAGUCCUGUUAUCUGUUUUCUAGGAUUCCUAGGAAUAUUUUCGAGAUGAAGCCUAGAAUGAUAAUGAUUAAUUCUUGCCAAUGAGCAAAUAUAAUUUGGAAGUCGCUGUGGCUAUUUUUUUUUUUUGUAAUUGUGUUUUAUUUUUUCAGCUAUUUCUGUUUAAAGAAAUUGCCUGUUAAAUAUACAGUUCUUUUAAAAGUAAUACAACUUCUGUAUGACUAGCUCAAUAUGGGAAAAGAUGACAGGCAAUUUAACUUGGUUCUGUCUUGUAAUGUACUACCUUAGUGUUAGGCUGCAUUUCUCAACAUUGCUAAGGAUUUAACAAACUGUGCAUGGCUAUGUGAACAACCUGUUCUCCCUGUGAAAGGUGGCAAGCAUGCUGUGAUGACUAUACCAUGCAAUCCAUUUUCAGGAUGGAUCCUCUCUAGUCUGGAUGCAGCUACUAAAAUAAGAAUGAAACAAAACAGAAAGGGCUUUGUUAAAGUAAAAUGGGACUCAGAUGUUCAGAGAUAAUAAUCUUUCAUUGCAUAUUUGUGUAAGCUUAGUCCUAAAAGGGUUAAUACACAGUUUUUGUUGCUUUAAAUAAGUAGCAGUUGAAAUGACUCAUCUUUCUUGUAUAUCAUGCCUGCGUUUUCUCUAAUGAAAGUGCACAAAUAUUUUGCCAUGCUUUUCUAAGCAUUGCUAAUUUCUCCACGUGACAAACUCUUUCUUGUAUUUCCCAUGUUAUUUGGACUUCCAUUUUAACAAUCCUUGAGGUCAAAAGGUAAGGGGUUCAGAUAAAUACUGUUUAAAUAUAGUUAGUCAUGGGCUAUACACUGAAAUAGGUUUUGUGUCCUCUUGGUAUUAUUUGACUCACUAUCAAAAGUGCACUUUGUUCUCUGUGUUUUCAAUUUAAUGUAUCCUAAGUACUACAUGGUGUGUUAAUUUGAAAUAUGAGUACCACAGGGUAUGGCAGGAACCACAGAAUUUAAUGUGAAUGAAUUGGAGUCUUAGGCCAUGAGUCAGACUAGCCUUUGCCAAGAUGUAUUCAGUAGAACAUAAAUCCUGUGGUAUGAAGAGGUCGAGUGGGGAUGAGAGAGAGAAAGGAUAUUUGAGAAAUGCUAUAUGGAUCUCUUUGGAAUGAGUAAUGCCAUUAUUAUAUUCAUGGCUUUCAGAAUUCCCACAAUAGAUAAUUUUAAGUUUAUUUAAUUCAAUAUUUCUCAAAUUUAUUUCACUCAAUAAUAAAUAUUUCAUCAGUUUUUUAAUUAUAGGCCAAGAUUUCUUUGAGAAAAACAUGUAAAUAUUUUUGUGCAUAUGGAAGCUCACAUUCCAGUGGGGGACACAGACAAUAAAGUAAAAAGUAAGUCAGAUAGUGCAAAGUGUUAUGGAGAUUCUAAGAAAAGAGAGAGGAUGAGAGAGUGGGGGUGAAGGUGAACAAGUUGGAUAUUUGACCAUGGAAUCUGUAUUAUAAAUGUGUAAUACUUAUUAAGGCCUGCAGAAUUGGCGUCUACAGAACACAUUGUGAGAAUCAGUUGGACCCUCAGGCAGGCACCUUGGACAGCUCACUUUCUAAAGUCAUGUUUCAUGUUUCUUUGUAGAACAUGAUUUCUUUUAAAAAGUACCCUAUGGAACCCUAUAUUCCAAAUGUAUUUUUCUGAAUUUGGCUAAAAAUACCUGUGAUAUGUGAGCUAGAGCUGAUAUUGUACUUAAACGUUUUAAAACCAGCUUUGUCCUUUGAGGGAAUAGAAAAUGAAGUAGAUAACGUAAAGUCAGAUUAAUAACCACUAGAUGUCGGUGUUAUCAUUGAGUAACAGACAUGAUCUUAAAUUUCAGCAAGCCAGGUUGACCUAGAUAAUUUAGUGCAUAAGUGGAUAUUAAAAAAAUACCUUCAAAGAUUAUUAAAAUAUAAUUGCAUAACUUUCAAAAGUAGUUCCUAGAUGAUAAAGACAAUAUAAUUUGGAACAAGAUUUAAAGAAAACAUAAGAAGGUAGGCGUAUCUCUGUGAUCAAGCUAAAUAGUUAAUUGAAAUCCACUUUGUGAUAUUUCCUUGAUGUCAGUUAAUCUAUUAGAAAUUCUCUACUGAGCAACUAUUAUGUCUAAGGUUCUCAACUAGGCAACAAGAAGGGUAAAAUUAAUAAGCUAAUGUCCCUCAAAAGAAAGGUACUUAGUGAUAUAAUGUCAAUUAUAUUAAUCAAUAUAUAAGGUUGGUAUAUUUUAGAGGUAUACAUAAAGAAGAGCGAGAAGGAUGGAAGUGGAGGAGCGACAUAACCACCUUUGUAGACAGUUUAGUGGCAAUAAGGGGGACUGAUUUGCAUGGGGACUUUUGCAACAGGUCAGAUAAGGGGUAGAGAGGUUGGCAAAUAUUUAUUCUGACUGACUUCACAGACAUAUUAGAAUCCAUCAGGUAGUAACUCCUUCAGUAUCCGACAUCAAAUCCCUAAACCUACCUGCAUAUUGACUAAGUAUCCUUCUUUUCUCUCCUUUUGCUAUGGUAUAAGUACCUCUUUUUCUGUGUAAGAAUAAUGGGUCUAUCUGUCCUCUCACUCUCAUGCUCUUGUGGUAUUGAGCAUCCUUAACCUUCAUUAUCUUCCUCUUUGUCAAGUUCCUUCCCUUUAGGAUUCACAUAUGCUUUGUUAUUACUAUUU
rnacentral:lncRNA from 1 species